rnacentral:rRNA from 1 species
GAUGAACGCUGGCGGCGUGCCUAAUACAUGCAAGUCGAGCGAACAGACGAGGAGCUUGCUCCUCUGACGUUAGCGGCGGACGGGUGAGUAACACGUGGAUAACCUACCUAUAAGACUGGGAUAACUUCGGGAAACCGGAGCUAAUACCGGAUAAUAUAUUGAACCGCAUGGUUCAAUAGUGAAAGACGGUUUUGCUGUCACUUAUAGAUGGAUCCGCGCCGCAUUAGCUAGUUGGUAAGGUAACGGCUUACCAAGGCAACGAUGCGUAGCCGACCUGAGAGGGUGAUCGGCCACACUGGAACUGAGACACGGUCCAGACUACUACGGGAGGCAGCAGUAGGGAAUCUUCCGCAAAGGGCGAAAGCCUGACGGAGCAACGCCGCGGGAGUGAUGAAGGUCUUCGGAUCGUAAAACUCUGUUAUUAGGGAAGAACAAAUGUGUAAGUAACUAUGCACGUCUUGACGGUACCUAAUCAGAAAGCCACGGCUAACUACGUG